GAAGCAGCUGCACAGUGUUGGGGAAGAGCUGGGUACUGAGGACUCUUCUCCCUGUUCUUCUACAGGUUGGUGAAUUCUGGCCUUACGUCAGUCUGUUGUUCAGCUUUGUCCUCGGUACUCAGCACUAAUCAGAAUCUCACGCACCUUUACCUGCGAGGCAACACUCUCGGAGACAAGGGGAUCAAGCUACUCUGUGAGGGACUCUUGCACCCUGACUGCAAGCUUCAGGUGUUGGAAUUAGACAACUGCAACCUUACGUCACACUGCUGCUGGGAUCUUUCCACGCUUCUGACCUCCAGCCAGAGCCUGCGAAAGCUGAGCCUGGGCAACAAUGACCUGGGUGACCUGGGGGUCAUGAUGUUCUGUGAAGUGCUGAAACAGCAGAGCUGCCUCCUGCAGAACCUGGGGUUGUCUGAAAUGUAUUUCAAUUAUGAGACAAAAAGUGCGUUAGAAACACUUCAAGAAGAAAAGCCUGAGCUGACCAUCAUCUUUGAGCCUUCUUGGUAGGGGUGGAAACAGGGCUGCCAGACGCCAGUGUUCUCCGGUCCCUCCAGCUGGGGGCCCUCAGGUGGAGUGAGC
rnacentral:sRNA from 1 species